UACAUGGGGUGCAAACGUUGCUCGGAAUUAUUGGGCGUAAAGCGCACGUAGGCGGUUCGUUAAGUCGGAUGUGAAAGCCCUCGGCUCAACUGAGGAAGUGCACCCGAAACUGGCGAGCUUGAGUACGAAAGAGGAUCGCGGAAUUCCCGGUGUAGAGGUGAAAUUCGUAGAUAUCGGGAGGAACACCGGUGGCGAAGGCGGCUACCUGGACCAGCACUGACACUGAGGCACGAAAGCGUGGGGAGCAAACAGG
rnacentral:rRNA from 1 species